rnacentral:lncRNA from 1 species
UCGACUAUAAAACAAGAUGGAAAUGUUGAAAGAGAAAACCCCCUUGAACUAUAAACAAGAAAAAUCCCAUAAGAUAAAACUAUAAACAAGAAAAGUCCCUUAAGAUCAACAAAAGUCCUCAAAUGGGAAUGUUGGAAAAGAAAAGUCCCUUGGACUAUAAACAAGAAUAGUCCCUUAUGAUCAACGAAAAAGUACCUUGGAUUAUAAACAAGAAACGAAAGUCCCUCAGUCCCUUGGACUAUAAACAAGAUGGGAAUGUUGGAAGAGAAAAGUCCCCUGUACUAUAAAUAAAAAAAGUCCCUUAAGAUCAACGAAAAAGUCCCUUGGACUAUAAACAAGAAAAGUCCGUGAAGAUCAACGAAAGUCCCCAAAUCCCUUGGACUAUAAACAAGAUUGGAAUGUUGGAAGAGAAAAGUCCUUUGGACUAUAUACAAGAAAAGUCCCUUGAGAUCAACGAAAGUCCCUCAGUCCCUUGGACUAUAAAAUAGAUGGAAAUGUGGGUAGAGAAACGUCCCUUGGACUAUAAACAAGAAACGUCCCUUGAGAUCAACGAUAAAGUCCCUUGGACUAUAAACAAGAUGGGAGUGUUGGAAAAGAAAUGUCCCCUGGACUAUAAACAAGAAAAGUCCCUUGGCACAUAAACAAGAAAAGUCUCUUUAGAUCAACCAAAGUCCCUCGGUCCCUUUGACUAUAAACAAGAUCAGAAUGUUGGAAGAGAAAAGUCCCUUUGACUAUGAACGCGAUAAAUCCCAUAAGAUCAACGGAAGUCCCUCGGUCCCUUGGACUAUUAAUAAAAUGGGAAUGUUGGAAGAGAAAGUCUAUUUAGUCGUUGUAAUAUACUAACCUUGCAGGUAAUUUUUCCAACAUGAGGAAAAAUGUUAACUAUGGAAUAAGGUACAAACACGCCAUGCAUGAGGUAAUCCUGUUAUUGGAAUGCCAUUCUAUGUUGAUUUGUGUUGUAUAGCUAAAUACCAUGUGGAUUUGUUGGUGGUAAAAACUGAAUAUAUUGGGUGGUAGUUUGAAACUGAUGUAAUUUUGCCUGUAUGUUAUGACGACUUGGAAAACAUAUCAUAAUGUGAUAUUGUUUGUUCUCUUAAUUUUGUAACUUACAUUACGAUUCUGCAAGCUCGAUUUAGAAUUAUAUGAUCAUUAGGGCUUUGGUUUGAAUCCAUUUACUGAGGAUUGAUAAAAAAAAUUAAAAAUCAGGAUUGGGAGUUAGAUUUUGUUUAAGUGGAAUGUAAAGCCUAAGACAUAUAUUCCACAAUUUGGCGUAUUAUUUUAGAUUAGAAUAAACAAUAAAAGUCUCCUAGUCCCUUGGACUAUAAACAAGAUGGAAAUGUUGAAAGAGAAAAAGCCCUUAGACUAUAAACAAGAAAAAUCCCUUAAGAUAAAUGAAAAAGUGCCUUAGAUUAUAAACAAGAAAAGUCCCUUAUGAUCAACAAAGUCCCUUAAGAUCAACGAAUGUCCCUCAGUCCCUUGGAUUAUAAACAAAAUGGGAAUGUUGGAAGAGAAAAGUCCCCUGAACUAUAAACAAGAACAGUCCCUUAUGAUCAACGAAAAAGUCCUUUGGACUAUAAACAAGAAAAGUCCGUUAAGAUCAACGAAAGUCCCUCCGUCCCUUGGACUAUAAACAAGAUAGGAAUGUUGGAAGAGAAAGUCCCCAGGACUACAAACAAAAAAAGACCUUUAGGAUCAAUGAAAAAGUCCCUUUUAAACAAGAAAAAGUCCGUAAAUAUCAACGAAAUUCCCAAGUCCCUUGGACUACAAACAAGAUUGGAAUAUUGGAAGAGAAAAGUCCUUUUGACUAUAUACAAGAAAAGUCCCUUGAGAUCAACGAAAGUCCCUCAGUCCCUUGGACUAUAAAAUAGAUGGAAAUGUGGGUAGAGAAAAGUCCCUUGGACUAUAAACAAGAAAGUCCCUUGGACUAUAAACGAGAUGGGAGUGUUGGAAGAGAAAUGCCCCCUGGACUAUAAACAAGAAAAGUCCCUUGGCGCAUAAACAAGAAAAGUCUCUUUAGAUCAACCAAAGUGCCUCGGUCCCUUUGGCUAUAAACAAGAUCAGAAUGUUGAAAGAGAAAAAUCCCUUUGACUAUGAACGAGAUAAAUCCCAUAAGAUCAACGGAAGUCCUUCGGUCCCUUGGACUAUUAACAAAAUGGGAAUGUUGGAAGAGAAAGUCCAUCUAGUCGUUUUAAUAUACUAACCUUGCAGGUAGUAUUUCCAACAUGAGGAAAAAGGUUAACUAUGGAUUAAGGUACAAACACGCCAUGGAUGAGGUAAUCCUAUUAUUGGAAUGCUAUUGUGUGUUGAUUUGUGUUGUAUACCUAAAUACCAUGUGGAUAUGUUGGUGGUAAAAACUGAAUAUAUUGGGUGGUAGUUUGAAACUGAUGUAAUUUUGCCUGUAUGUUAUGACGACAUGGAAAACAUAUCUUAAUGUGAUAUUGUUUGUUCUCUUAAUUUCGUAACUUACAUUACGAUUCUGCAAGCUCGAUUUAGAAUUAUAUGAUCAUUAGGGUUUUGGUUUGAAUCCAUUUACUGAUGAUUGAUAAAAAAAUUAAAAAUCAGGAUUGGGAGUUAGAUUUUGUUUAGUGGAAUGUAAAACCUAAGACCUAUGUUCCACCAUUUGGGGUAUUGUUUUAGAUUAGAAUAAACAAUAAAAGUCUCCCAGUCCCUUGGACUAUAAGCAAGAUGGUAAUAUGGGAAGAGAAAAGUCCCAUGGACUAUAAACAAGAAAUGUCCGUUGGACUAUAAACAAAAUAAGUCCCUUAAGAUCAAGGAAAGUCCCUCAGUCCCUUGGACUAUAUACAAGAUGGAAAUGUUGAAAGAGAAAAACCCCUUAGAAUAGAAACAAGAAAAAUCCCUUAAGAUAAACGAAAAAUUCCCUUAGACUAUAAACAAGAAAAGUCCCUUAUGAUCAACGAAAGUCCUUCAGUCCCUUGGACUAUAAACAAAAUGGGAAUGUUGGAAAAAAAAGUCCCCUGGAUUAUAAACAAGUACAGUCCCUUAUGAUCAACGAAAAAGUCCCUUGGACUAUAAACAAAAAAAGUCCCUUAAGAUCAACGAAAGUCCCUCGGUCCCUUGCACUAUAAACAAGAUGGGAAUGUUGGAAGAGAAAAGUCCCCUAGACUAUAAACAAAAAAAGUCCCUUAAGAUCAACGAAAAAGUCCCUUGGACUAUAAACAAGAAAAGUCCGUGAAGAUCAACGAAAGUCUUAGUCCCUUGGACUAUAAACAAGAUGGGAAUGUUGGAAGAGAAAAGUCCUUUGGACUUUAAACAAGAAAAGUCCCUUGAUAUCAAUGAAAGUCCCUCAGUCCCUUGGACUAUAAAAUAGAUGGAAAUGUGGGUAGAGAAAAGUUCCUUGGACUAUAAACAAGAAAAAUCCCUUGAGAUCAAAGAUAAAGUCCCUUGGACUAUAAACAAGAUUGGAGUGUUGGAAGAGAAAUGUCCCCUGGACUAUAAACAAUAAAAGUCCCUUGGACUAUAAACAAGAUAAGUAUCUUUAGAUCAACCAAAGUCCCUUAGUCCCUCGGGCUAUAAACAUUAUUGGAAUGUUGGAAGAGAAAAGUCCCUUUGACUAUGAAGGAGAUAUGUCCCGUAAGAUCAACGGAAGUCCCUCAUUUCUUUGGACUAUUAACAAGAUGUGAAUGUUGGAAGAGAAAGUCCAUCUAGUCGUUGUAAUAUACUAACCUUGCAGGUAAUAUUUCCAACAUGAGGAAAAAGGUUAGCUAUGGAAUAAGGUACAAACACGCCAUGCAUGAGGUAAUCCUACUAUUGGAAUGCCAUUCUGUGUUGAUUUGUGUUGUAUAGCUAAAUACCAUGUGGAUAUGUUGGUGGUAAAAACUGAAUAUAUUGGGUGGUAGUUUGAAACUCAUGUAAUUUUGCCUGUAUGUUAUGACGACUUGGAAAAUAUAUUUUAAUGUGAUAUUGUUUAUUCUCUUAAUUUCGUAACUUAUGUUACGAUUCUGCAAGCUCGAUUUAGAAUUAUAUUAUCAUUAGGGUUUUGGUUUGAAUCAAUUUACUGAGGAUUGAUAAAAAGAAAUUAAAAAUCAGGAUUGGGAGUUGGAUUUUGUUUAAGUGCAAUGUAAAACCUAAGACCUAUGUUCCACAAUUUGGCUUAUUGUUUUAGAUUAGAAUAAACAACGAAAGUUUCCCAGUCCCUUGGACUAUAAGCAAGAUGGUAAUAUGGGAAGAGAAAAUUCCCAUGGGCUAUAAACAAGAAAUGUCCGUUGGACUAUAAACAAAAAAAGUCCCUUGAGAUCAACGAAUGUCCCUCGGUCCCUUGGACUAUAAAUAUGAUGGGAAUGUUGGAAGAGAAAAUUCCCCGGACUAUAAACAAAAAAAGUCCGUGAAGAUCAAUGAAAGUCCCUAAGUCUCUUGGACUAUAAACAAGAUGGGAAUGUUGGAAGAGUAAAGUCCUUUGGACUAUAAACAAGAAAAGUGCCUUGAGAUCAACGAAAGUCCCUCAGUCUCUUGGACUAUAAAAUAGAUGGAAAUGUGGGUAGAGAAAAGUCCCUUGGACUAUAAAAAAAGAAAAGUCCAUCGAGAUCAACGAAAAAGUCCAUUGGAUUAUAAACAAGAUGGUUGGAAGAGAAAUGUCCCCUGGACUAUAAACAAGAAAAGUUCCUUGGACUAUAAAAAAGAAAAGUCUCUUUAGAUCAACCAAAGUCCUUCAGUCCCUCGGACUAUAAACAAGAUCGGAAUGUUGGAAGAGAAAAUUCCUUCUCACUUUGAACGAGAAAAGUCCUAUAAGAUCACCUCAGUCCCUCAGUCCCUUGGACUAUAAACAAGAUGGGAAUGUUGGAAGAGAAAGUCAAUCUGGUCGUUGUAAUAUACUAACCUUGCAGGUAAUAUUUCCAACAUGAGGGAAAAUGUUAGCUAUGGAAUAAAGUACAAACACGCAUGCAUGAGGUAAUAUCGUAUUUUUAUUUUAUUUUAUUCUCAUAUGGCUUACAUUGAAAACAAUGCAAUAUCUUGUUUGGGGGUGUCUGUUUGACUUUUAUUUUCAUGUGUUGUUUUGUAUGUUGCUGAAAAUAAUGUGUGAAUAUAUGCUAAUUAGUAUUUUACGAAUUAUCUAAAUCUUGUUCAUAAUAACAAAAUUUGUUCUUUGAAUUAGUGCUUUGUUUGGUAUAACCUUAUAAAAAAAUUGAACGAUGCAUUGGUGCAAUGAAUUGUUAGUGAAAUUAUCAUUUUUUUAAUCUCAAAAUUAUAGGGACUGAAGCA